rnacentral:ribozyme from 13 species
CUUUGUUUUUUUUUUUUUUUUCAAUUUUUUUUUUGGUGGCAGAUCUUCUUUCUUUUGUCUUCUUUUGUAUUUCAUUCUUCUUUUCAAGAAAAGAGAGAAGAAAAUUUG